CCUCAGCCAGGCGGCGCUUCCUCAGCCAGGCGACGUGCCUCUGCUUCCUCA
rnacentral:snoRNA from 1 species